rnacentral:rRNA from 1 species
GUAGGGAAUCUUGCGCAAUGGGCGAAAGCCUGACGCAGCCAUGCCGCGUGAAUGAUGAAGGUCUUAGGAUUGUAAAAUUCUUUCACCGGGGACGAUAAUGACGGUACCCGGAGAAGAAGCCCCGGCUAACUUCGUGCCAGCAGCCGCGGUAAUACGAAGGGGGCUAGCGUUGCUCGGAAUUACUGGGCGUAAAGGGAGCGUAGGCGGAUAGUUUAGUCAGAGGUGAAAGCCCAGGGCUCAACCUUGGAAUUGCCUUUGAUACUGGCUAUCUUGAGUAUGGAAGAGGUAUGUGGAACUCCGAGUGUAGAGGUGAAAUUCGUAGAUAUUCGGAAGAACACCAGUGGCGAAGGCGGCUCACUGGUCCGGUACUGACGCUGAGGUGCGAAAGCGUGGGGAGCAAACAGGAUUAGAUACCCUAGUAGUCC